CCUACGGGAGGCAGCAGUGGGGAAUUUUGCGCAAUGCUCGUAAGAGUGACGCAGCGACGCCGCGUGAAUGACGAAGGCCUUCGGGUCGUAAAGCUCUUUCGACAGGGAAGAAAAUGCCUAUAAGUAACUGUGUAUGUAUUGACGGUACCUGUAUAAGCAGCCCCGGCUAACUCCGUGCCAGCAGCCGCGGUAAUACGGAGGGGGCGAGCGUUGUUCGGAGUGACUGGGCGUAAAGAGCAUGUAGGCGGUGUUGUAAGUCAUUAGUCAAAGACUAGAGCUCAACUUUAGUAAGGCUAGUGAUACUAUAAUACUAGAGUAUCAGAGAGGAUUGCAGAAUUCCUGGUGUAGCGGUGAAAUGCGUAGAUAUCAGGAGGAAUACCGUUAGCGAAGGCGGCAAUCUGGCUGGAAACUGACGCUGAGGUGCGAAAGCGUGGGUAGCAAACAGGAUUAGAUACCCUGGUAGUC
rnacentral:rRNA from 1 species